rnacentral:lncRNA from 1 species
GUCCAAGGCCUGCAGAUAGGACCCUCCGUCAGGAAUGCAAAGAAUGUUUUCCCUCGGACGAUGGAGGCGCACAGGCCAGGGGGAUUCUGUCUGCGUGACAGCCGUGACAUUUGCCAGAGCCCCGGACGGCUGUGGAAAUGGCAUUGCCCACCCUGAAAGUGAGAAGUGACAGAAGCAGCUGGAGAGAAGAUACCAGUAUAAAACCCGCCCAGACUCGUUUCUGUGGAGCCGGGAUGGGAACCGCGGCAUAGAGCCCUAUACACUCUUUCUGCACACAUUAACCUGUGCCAGCCCCCCGC